AGAGUUUGAUCAUGGCUCAGAACGUACGCUGGCGGCACGCCUAACACAUGCAAGUCGAACGAAGUAGCAAUACUUAGUGGCAGACGGGUGAGUAACAUGUAGGUAUCUGCCCUUUGGCCUGGAAUAACACGAGGAAACUUGUGCUAAUACCGGAUAAGUCUUUACGGAGAAAGCUUUAUGCACCAUUGGAUGAGCCUGCACUUGAUUAGUUUGUUGGUGGGGUAAUGGCCUACCAAGACUGUGAUCAAUAGCUGAUUUGAGAGGAUGAUCAGCCACAUUGGGACUGAGACACGGCCCAAACUCCUACGGGAGGCAGCAGUGGGGAAUCUUGCACAAUGGAGGAAACUCUGAUGCAGCGAUGCCGCGUGAGUGAAGAAGGCCUUUGGGUUGUAAAGCUCUUUCGUCGGGGAAGAAAAUGACUGUACCCGAAUAAGAAGGUCCGGCUAACUUCGUGCCAGCAGCCGCGGUAAUACGAAGGGACCUAGCGUAGUUCGGAAUUACUGGGCUUAAAGAGUUCGUAGGUGGUUGAAAAAGUUAGUGGUGAAAUCCCAGAGCUUAACUCUGGAACUGCCAUUAAAACUUUUCAGCUAGAGUAUGAUAGAGGAAAGCAGAAUUUCUAGUGUAGAGGUGAAAUUCGUAGAUAUUAGAAAGAAUACCAAUUGCGAAGGCAGCUUUCUGGAUCAUUACUGACACUGAGGAACGAAAGCAUGGGUAGCGAAGAGGAUUAGAUACCCUCGUAGUCCAUGCCGUAAACGAUGUGUGUUAGACGUUGGAAAUUUAUUUUCAGUGUCGCAGGGAAACCGAUAAACACACCGCCUGGGGAGUACGACCGCAAGGUUAAAACUCAAAUGAAUUGACGGGGACCCGCACAAGUAGUGGAGCAUGUGGUUUAAUUCGAAGAUACGCGCAGAACCUUACCAACACUUGACAUGUUCGUCGCGACUCUAAGAGAUUAGAGUUUUCGGUUCGGCCGGACGAAACACAGGUGCUGCAUGGCUGUCGUCAGCUCGUGUCGUGAGAUGUUGGGUUAAGUCCCGCAACGAGCGCAACCCUCACUUUUAGUUGCCAUCAUUAAGUUGGGCACUCUGAAAGAACUGCCAGUGAUAAGCUGGAGGAAGGUGGGGAUGACGUCAAGUCCUCAUGGCCCUUACGUGUUGGGCUACACACGUGCUACAAUGGUAUCUACAACAGGAAGCAAGACUGCGAAGUUAAGCAAAUCCCUAAAAGAUACCUCAGUUCGGAUUGCACUCUGCAACUCGAGUGCAUGAAGCUGGAAUUACUAGUAAUCGUGGAUCAGCGUGCCACGGUGAAUGCGUUCCCGGGUCUUGUACACACCGCCCGUCACACCAUGGGAGUUGGUUCUACCUUAAGGCAAGGUUUCAAACCCUUGACCACGGUAUAGUCAGCGACUGGGGUGAAGUCGUAACAAGGUAACCGUA
rnacentral:rRNA from 1 species